GCGCAACAACUUCCACCUGGCUUACCUUUUCAGUCUUGUGUCAUUGCUUGUAUCGCAUUGAAUGCAUGGUGGGUUUCUUGUGUUGCAUGCCUAAUUGAUGGUAUCAUUUGAAGAAUUGAUGUCCCUUUUCAUCUUGUGUCGCACAUGCGAUGUGAGAUGAACCUUGAAGUAGCCUUUGUGAUCCACUCUUUCGAUGUACACGCAUUGAUUUUGUGGCCCACUGUGUGUUGCUUGGUCUCAUGGAUAUGGAACCUGGUGUGGGCAUGGGAUCUUUACUAGUUCCUUGUUUGCCCUGGUUUAGCUUUUCUAAUACGAUUGUUUAUCACAUUUUAAUGUGGUAGGCUAUAUCAGAUAUGAAUGCUACCUGGUUGAUCCUGCC
rnacentral:misc_RNA from 1 species